rnacentral:misc_RNA from 1 species
GAUGAAGAACGUAGCGAAAUGCGAUAAGUAAUGUGAAUUGCAGAAUUCAGUGAAUCAUCGAAUCUUUGAACGCACAUUGCGCCCGCCAGUAUUCUGGCGGGCAUGCCUGUUCGAGCGUCAUUUCAACCAUCAAGCCCUGCUUGCGUUGGGGUCCUGCGGCUGCCCGCAGGCCCUGAAAACCAGUGGCGGGCUCGCUAGUCACACCGAGCGCAGUAAUACAUCUCGCUUUGGGCGUGCGGCGGGUUCUUGCCGUUAAACACCCCCUUUUUACCAAGGUUGACCUCGGAUCAGGUAGGAAUACCUGCUGAACUUAAGCAUAUCAAUAAGCGGAGGA